rnacentral:rRNA from 1 species
ACGGAAGGCAGCAGUGGGGAAUAUUGGACAAUGGGGGAAACCCUGAUCCAGCGACGCCGCGUGAGUGAAGAAGUAUUUCGGUAUGUAAAGCUCUAUCAGCAAGGAAGAAAAUGACGGUACUUGACUAAGAAGCUCCGGCUAAAUACGUGCCAGCAGCCGCGGUAUUACGUAUGGAGCAAGCGUUAUCCGGAUUUACUGGGUGUAAAGGGAGCGUAGACGGCAAAGCAAGUCUGAAGUGAAAUCCCGGGGCUCAACCCCGGAACUGCUUUGGAAACUGUUUAGCUAGAGUGCAGGAGAGGUAAGCGGAAUUCCUAGUGUAGCGGUGAAAUGCGUAGAUAUUAGGAGGAACACCAGUGGCGAAGGCGGCUUACUGGACUGUAACUGACGUUGAGGCUCGAAAGCGUGGGGAGCAAACAGGAUUAGAUACCCUGGUA